rnacentral:rRNA from 1 species
AACAACUUCUAACGGUGGAUCUCUUGGCUCGUGCAUCGAUGACGAACGUAGCCAGUUGCGAUAAGUAAUGUGAAUUGCAGAAUUCAGUGAAUCAUCGAAUCUUUGAACGCAAAUUGCGCUCUCUGGAUCCCCAGGGAGCAUGUCUGUCUGAGUGUCGCGAACG